rnacentral:rRNA from 1 species
GUACACUCCUGCGGGAGGCAGCAGUGGGGAAUAUUGCACAAUGGGCGCAAGCCUGAUGCAGCCAUGCCGCGUGUAUGAAGAAGGCCUUCGGGUUGUAAAGUACUUUCAGCGGGGAGGAAGGCAAUACGGUUAAUAACCGUGUUGAUUGACGUUACCCGCAGAAGAAGCACCGGCUAACUCCGUGCCAGCAGCCGCGGUAAUACGGAGGGUGCAAGCGUUAAUCGGAAUUACUGGGCGUAAAGCGCACGCAGGCGGUCUGUCAAGUCGGAUGUGAAAUCCCCGGGCUCAACCUGGGAACUGCAUUCGAAACUGGCAGGCUUGAGUCUUGUAGAGGGGGGUAGAAUUCCAGGUGUAGCGGUGAAAUGCGUAGAGAUCUGGAGGAAUACCGGUGGCGAAGGCGGCCCCCUGGACAAAGACUGACGCUCAGGUGCGAAAGCGUGGGGAGCAAACAGGAUUAGAUACCCCAGUAGUCCCAUGAU